rnacentral:rRNA from 1 species
UGAGGUACCAUCAUACCAGCACUAAUGCACUGGAUUCCAUCGGAACACUCAAGUUAAGCGUGCUUGGGCAAGAACAGUACUAGGAUGGGCUUUGUCACAGGCCUUCCACAAGCACAUGCAAGACAUGAU